UCGGUGAUGAAGGAGCCCAUCUCCGUUUUAAGGAGCCACCUGCAAAGACACAGAGGAGUUCAGGAAGGAAGACUCAGCCGCCAUGUUUCCUCUCCACAUCUUCACUCAGAUCAGUGACCGGUCUAAUGAGAGGUGGAGCAGAUAGCACCGACAUGCAAACGGGCGUUUGAGGUUGUUUCUACGUCCAUCUGUCUCACGGUGGAGGUGAAAUGAGAUGUCGAAAACAGAACCAGGCGAACGCACAGCUUUAUAAAGCUGACGAGAAGAAUGCGUCUGUACAUUUCUGUCUUUGAGCGUUCACACAAGGAGAAGACGCUUUCGUCACCUGAUGCUCUCGUUCAGCGUGUACAGCUCGUUAGUCUGCAGCGCUCCACCCUGGAACACCUUGAUCACAGCUGAUUGGACACUGAGGACACACAAACAAACACAGGUAAAUAACGCCAGGUGAAGUACAAACCGCCACCACAACACCUGCUGCACCUGUUUACCAGUGAGCCCGGCAGGAUACGAGCCUCGUGUGGACUCACCUGUGCAGACUCGCUUCGCUCCUGCGGCGCUGCUGAUGAAUAAAACGCGUCCACCGACCUCACAGGACGCAACUACACCGACCGCAGCUGCUCAUCCUCGGCUCUCACUGCGAACACAGCGCUUCAGUCUCCGCAGGUAACAAACACCUAGAGUCGCGUGAGACGGACCGCGUCCUCCAGAGAAACUCUCAGACCGGCAAACUGAACUCACAUUUCGCCGCUCCUCACUGCAACUGAGAGGACUGGCUCCGUGCAACAGGCUGGAGGCUGCGGCUGACAAGCCACACCAGCUGACUGCGGACACUUCCGGCUGGCGCCUUCAAAGAACCGUCCACUUCCUGCUGCUGCUGCUUUUGCCUGGUGACAGUUGUGUUUGGAGCCUCCUUUAAACAGAGAACAAUAAUUACAGAGCAGCUCAGCGGCUUAUUUUGGCUGCUGUGGGAACAAACGGACUGUUUCUGCUCUUUGUGUUCAGGUCAUCAGAUGUUCAUGUUCAGCAGAGCACUCAUGACUGUCUUUAUUAUUCAUUGGUUCUCUGUGCAAUUUGUCUGUUGUAUUCUUUUCUGCACGUUUGUGCAUCUGAUUGUAUUUUUCAUCUCUCUGUAAAACACUUAUUGUUUUAAAGUGGGCUCUAUAAUAAGGCUGUAACUGACGAUUAUUUUCAUGAUCAAUUAAUCUGCUGAUUGUUUUCUCGAUUGUCUAGUCUAUGAAAUAUCAAAAAGUAGUUAAAAAAAAAGCACCCAUCCCAGUUUCCUCAAGGUCCUCAGUAAUGUCUUCAAAUGACAUGAAAGAUGUUUCAUUUAAACAACAAAUUCUCACACUUGAGAAGCCGGAGCAGAAACAUUUUUGCUCAAAAGUUUUUAAAAUUUUCUUUUUAACGACUAAUUGGUUCAUCGUUGCAGCUCCAUAAUAACUCUUUUUGACAUAUAAACAUCUCUAAGUCACAUGGGGAGGGGCACAAUAUCUUUAUUUGAUUAAUUUCAUCACAUUUCUGAAUUAAAAUAACUCCACCACUGUGUGUGGUUAACAAACGCCAACUGAAUGUUUGUCAACCUUUAUUGUGAAGGUGACUGCCACGCUUCCGGUACAGCUUUGAUUUCAGCUUGACGCGGCGUCCCGCCUCUUCUGAUUGGUUCAGAAUACUUCAUCUUGUGAGCAUCUGAUGUGGUCACAACCCAGACAACAAAACAACACAAGGGAGUUUCAGGAGGAGCUGCUCUUUGCUGCUUCACAGCAGACACUUAGUUAUUAUAGUUAUUAUAGUUAGUUAGUUAGUUAGUUAUAGUUAGUUAGUUAGUUAGUUAUGCUUCCGGAGGGAAAUGUAGUCACAUUUGCUGUUGGAAGCUUUUAUGUGAAGUCAGUUUUAUUAAUGCAGCCUAAAUCAAUUUGCCUUCGCAGCUUGUUGUGAUGGCUUAAAAUAUUUUAUGUAUAAUAAACAGUGAUCUGAUCAAACUGCAUCCGGCCUCAAGAGAAACACGGACAGAAAACGCUUCAUGAGUCCAGACAGCUGAAGUUGGUCUGUUGUCUGUUCUGUGAUUCAGUUUAUCAUCCUGCUUUAAUUCAGAAGCCUGAUCUGUUUCUUUUUUUAAAGUUCAGUUCAGCCAAACUAAAGUCUUUCAGCUCUAACAUGUAACCGUGUCUGAGGUGUGUUUCUUCCACCGACGCGGUUAUGAAUAUGAACAGGAUUUAUCUCACUAAGAAUCUGCAAUGAGUGUUUAAAGUUAGCCAUGAAGGCUAAACGAUCACAGUGACUUGAUGUGAUCGUUUCACCGCAGCAUCAUCUGAGUAAAUAAUACGAAAGUGAUGAAAAGCACACAGACGGCAGGAAGAGGUUACGAACAUCUCUGACAGAUACUGCAGCACGUCUGCAGCUUCAGAGAAACACUCCUUUCAAACUUGUGGUGUCUUGUGAGGACUGGAUUACAUCAUCAUAACAAAUAAAUGUUGUUUCUAGGCAACCAGAGGUAGAGGACAUGUUUCAGGUAUGACUUUGGCUGCAUGUUUACCUGUAGCUUUAAUAACUUUUAUGUUUUAGUGGAUAUUAUGUGGACAUGGUGCCGCAGUUUCAUCUGGCCCUGCUUUAGGAGAAAUCUUUGGUUUUGUUUUUUGCAUUUUGAGAGAAAAAGCUUUCCGGGAUCCUGAACUCCUCGUAUCUGCUCUUGAAGCUGAAAUCAACUAUUUAUUUGUAUUAGUGGGAUGAAGCAGCUGCGUGUAAGAAACGUCGUUGUUUAUUCUUCUGUAUUAUUCGAGAUAGAGAGACAGAGAAUCCAACAAAAACAAGUUUGCACGAUGUUUUAAAGAGUCAUUUGGGUUUUUCUUCGUUUAUUUUCGUGAGACAAAUGAGCUUCAAAUGAAGAAACUUUCCUAGAAGACUUCGUAUGAAAUUCAGCAUCAUUUCCAACGUUUAUUGGCCUUUUACACGUAUUAGAUGGUUUUCUGUUGUCUGUCAGCCUGGUUUCAAAGAAAAUAAUCAUUUAU